GUGGUGUUGGCAUAAAAGGCAGACUCGUAUCAUGAGGAAUGAUUGUCAUCUUGUAUGAUUCUUGGAGAUGGCAGGAAGCCCCUGGAAACACAUGAUGUGGACUCUGUCAUAGGCUGUUGAAACCCUCCCGAAGGUGAGGCCAGAGACAGGCAGACAGCAGGGAGCUGGAUGACAUGGCCUUUGGAACCUGUGCGCAUGCCUGCCUUUCUGAUGCACGUCCAUGUUUUCUCUGCACCUCCCUGGUGGUGUUGGUAUAAAAAGCAGGCUCACAUCAGCAAGGGAUGAUUGUCAUCUCAUGCGAUCCUGGGAGAUGGCAGAAGUCCCGGGACACAUGGAGUGUGGGCUCUUUCGGAGGCUGUUGGAUCCCUCCUGAAUGUAUUGUGGCCAUGGAAGUAAGGCCAGUGGCUACGAGGGACAGUCUUCAUCUUGGGAGAUCCCUAGAGAGGGCAGGGAGCCCCUUGACAUGUGGAAUGUGGUUUCCGUUGGGUGCUGGUGGAUCCCACAGGUGGUGUGGCAUGGAAGAAGGCCAGAGGCUGCGAUGGAUCAUCUUUGUCUUGGGAGAUUCCUGGAGAUGGUGGGGAGCCCCUGGGCACGUGCAGCACAUGUGGUGUGGGCUUCUUCAGGUGCUGGUGGAUCCCUCAGGAUGCUUUUCAAGGUUUUUCUGUGAGUUCUGUUAAAGAGUCUGAAAACGGAGCGUAGAAGACAAGCUUCGAUUUCCAGGAUGGUUGUGUUUUCCAGGGAGGCGAAGUUCAUCGUGGAACCAGCACAGAUUUUCAUAUGAAAGUUAUAUUUUUUUUUAACCUCAAAAAGUGACAGAAUGGAGUGUAUCAUGAAAAAGUCUGACAUCAAAACCUCAAAAUGUGAUAUUGAUUGGGUGAGAUAGAAUUCCAUGGAAUUUCAUUGCCAAACCAGUGAAGUGCUAAUUUUGACAUUUGUACCAGCUAACGUAGCUGUGAAGAAACACACCAAUACGCUUCUAAGGACAACAUAGACCAAGAUCUAGGUUUCAUAUGGAUGAAUUUAUUCUUCCCUUCGAGGCAAGACAAGAAGGAAAGAAAGUAUUGGGAAUAAUGCUGCCCUCCCAUCCUCAAGGGCCAGUGGGAACUCUAAUAUUGAUUGGUUGUCACGGAAUUCCAUGGAAUUUAACUGCUGAACCAAUGAUGCGCUGAUUUUGUCAUUUGUACCAUCUAACUCAUCUGGGAGGCAACAAAACAAUAUUCUCCUGAGGUUAAUGUGGACCAAGAACUAGAUUUCAUGUAAAAGAGUUUAUUCCUUCUACUUAAGGUGUGACAUGAAGGAAAGUAAUGGAAAUAAUUCUGCCCUCCCAUUCUCAAGGGCCAGGGGGAAUUCUAAUAUUGAACGGAAGUGAUUUUGGAAUUGCAUGGAAUUCUCACUGCCAUCCCAAAGAAAUGCUCAUCUUGUCACUCUUACCUGUUCCAUUCCCCGGGACAGAACAAAAGGAUUCACUCCAAAGAUUGGCAUGAACCAAGAACUGGGUUUCAUAUAAAAUAUUUUAUUCUGUCCUCUUGAGAUGUGACAUGAAGAAAAGUAUUGAGAAUACUUCUAUCACCUCAUCUUCAAGAAUCCAUAGGAAUUCUCCCACGGUGGACGUUACGGUUCACCUGAACAGGUCUUGGAAAAAGGACUUUAAACAUUCUCCUGUUCUGUGGAAUAAGUAUACUUUUUUUCUGGACAUACACCUUGUCAGUGAGUUCCAUGUGAUACUAGAGUUGCAUAGAUUUUUAACCUUUACACCAAUGAAGAUCUGAGGCAAACAUUGCCCCUUUUUUAGAAGUUUGCAUUUGUCACUGAUAACUGUAAUAAUUGAUCUUGUUGAAAAGCCUGGGAAAUGAAGAUCUGAUAUGUCACUUUUACCAGCUUCCUCAACUGAAAAAGAAUACAACGAAACACGCCGAGAAUUUUUGUGCUUUCUCAGUCUUGCUGAUGAUCUUUCUAUGGGCAUGAAGCGUGGAGAGUGCCAGAGAGGCUGAUCCUCAGCAGUGUGGCAGAGGAAAUUUGGGUGCAACCAAGGGGUAUGCGGUGCCCAAAUGCCACUGGGUCCUCAGCAGUACCACCUGGUCAACAAAUACAAGGCACCUGGCCUCACAUGAAACUUUAUUCCUUUCCCUUGAGAUGUGACAUGAAA
rnacentral:antisense_RNA from 1 species